UAACCAAAUGACAUUAGUAAUGACCGUUUACAUAAGUAUACAUCAUACACUGAAUGUCAGACAUCUAAGUUCAUAGUUGAAGGGAUGUAAAUAUUGAUCAGUACUGCAAACAAUGUUGUAAAGUCAGAGUUUACGUUACACAUGACGUGACCCAGUUAUUAGUUAUGGUGUCACCCAGCGGCUUAUGAGCCGAGGAUGGAGGAGGCAGCUAGCUAGUAGCACAAAGCUACAUCUGCAGCUAAUCUGUUAUGGUGUUGUUAUUGUUAGGUAACAUUGACAUCAAGCAUCUGUCGUUAGAUGGACUAUUGAGCUGAAUGCAUAAAGCAGUGUGACCAUAAACUCCGUCCCUCCAAGAGGUGAAUCCGACCGAGGGUUCCGGGGAUGAAAAAAGUCCGUCAACGAAGCAAAAUGGUCCGGCUGCGGGGGCGGCACCUCACGCCGCGCCCCCUUUGGCUCAUGGCUCCUCUCCUCCUCUCGUCUUACCAGAGUUGGGUCCGCCAAGCCGCGGACAGGUGUAGAGGGCUUUUAUGACUGGAAGUAAAACCUCCUGCUGUCUUCUCAUGCGAGCACAGGAUCGCAUCUCGUCUGGAACAAAGUUCUCUACCCUGCACCAUCUUAUCGUAAAUAUGUAAAUAUUUACUCCCGUAGUCGUUGAUUUAUUUUAAUUUAUCAUUAUCACUGCGUUCCGUGUACAUAUAAUUUUAUAACCGUAACAAUAGAGAGAAAUGAAAUUAUAUUCUGCAAAAUGUAGAGGACUGCCAUGAAACAGUUAUGACAUUUACCAUUUAAAUACAUUAUUAUUGAUGUUGUUGUUGUUGUUAUUUUUAUAAAUUAAUUUGUCAUGGCCCAGAGUGAUGAUGAUCAUUACUAUUAACUAAUAAUCACACACACACACACACACACAUAUAUAUAUAUAGACAUAUAAUAUAAUUAAUAAUGUGUAAAGAUCACUGGAUGUUAUUAAAGACAUUUAUUGCGCUUAUAAUUCAAUACAUUUCAUCAAACCGUACAAUACACACGCACAUGUUGAUGAAUACACAAAGUAAAUACAGACAUGGCAAACAGAAGGUCUGGCUGGUUGUAGUCCUGCUGGGGGCAGAGGCUGCAUUCUGACCAGAGGAGGGAUGCGUGGAGGUCUGAGGUGAAGGAGGACAACCAGAGGAGUCUGGACAGACGCUGGAGGGACAAAAGUCAGUACGACUAAAUGUGAUAUAAUAAACAUAAACUGUCUGUUUAUGAACCAA